rnacentral:rRNA from 1 species
CCUACGGGUGGCAGCAGUGAGGAAUAUUGGUCAAUGGGCGCGAGCCUGAACCAGCCAAGUAGCGUGAAGGAUGACUGCCCUACGGGUUGUAAACUUCUUUUAUAUGGGAAUAAAAUGUUCCACGUGUGGGAUUUUGUAUGUACCAUAUGAAUAAGGAUCGGCUAACUCCGUGCCAGCAGCCGCGGUAAUACGGAGGAUCCGAGCGUUAUCCGGAUUUAUUGGGUUUAAAGGGAGCGUAGGUGGAUUGUUAAGUCAGUUGUGAAAGUUUGCGGCUCAACCGUAAAAUUGCAAUUGAUACUGGCAGUCUUGAGUACAGUUGAGGUAGGCGGAAUUCGUGGUGUAGAGGUGAAAUGCUUAGAUAUCACGAAGAACCACGAUUGCGAAGGCAGCUUACUAAACUGUGACUGACAUUGAUGCUCGAAAGUGUGGGUAUCAAACAGGAUUAGAUACCCGAGUAGUC